UACGAAGGGGGCUAGCGUUGCUCGGAAUUACUGGGCGUAAAGGGCGCGUAGGCGGAUAGUUCAGUUGGGGGUGAAAGCCCGGGGCUCAACCUCGGAACUGCCUUCAAUACUGGCUAUCUUGAGUACGGGAGAGGUGUGUGGAACUCCGAGUGUAGAGGUGAAAUUCGUAGAUAUUCGGAAGAACACCAGUGGCGAAGGCGACUCGCUGGACAGGUAUUGACGCUGAGGUGCGAAAGCGUGGGGAGCAAACAGG
rnacentral:rRNA from 1 species